rnacentral:rRNA from 1 species
UACAGAGGUCUCAAGCGUUGUCCGGAUUUAUUGGGCGUAAAGAGCGUGUAGGCGGCCAGACAGGUCCGUUGUGAAAACUCGAGGCUCAACCUCGAGAUGUCGAUGGAAACCGUCUGGCUAGAGUCCGGAAGAGGAGUGUGGAAUUCCUGGUGUAGCGGUGAAAUGCGCAGAUAUCAGGAAGAACACCUAUGGCGAAGGCAGCACUCUGGGACGGUACUGACGCUGAGACGCGAAAGCGUGGGGAGCGAACAGG